CCUACGGGAGGCUGCAGUGGGGAAUAUUGGUCAAUGGAGGAAACUCUGACCCAGCAACGCCGCGUGAAUGAUGAUGCUCUUCGGAUGGUAAAGUUCUUUUCUACGGGAGGAAGAAAGUGACGGUACCUUAGGAAUAAGCCUCGGCUAACUACGUGCCAGCAGCCGCGGUAAUACGGAGGAGGCGAGCGUUAUCCGGAAUGACUGGGCGUAAAGGGUGCGUAGGUGGUUUGGCAAGUUAGUAGCGUAACACCAAGGCUCAACCUUGGAACUACUACUAAAACUGUUGGACUUGAGUGCAGGGGGGGCAAGCGGAAUUCGUAGUGUAGCGGUGGAAUGCGUAGAUAUUAGGAAGAACACCAGUGGCGAAGGCGGGUUGCUAGACUGUAACUGACACUGAGGCACGAAAGCGUGGGGAGCAAACAGGAUUAGAUACCCCUGUAGUC
rnacentral:rRNA from 1 species